AUUGAACGCUGGCGGCAGGCCUAACACAUGCAAGUCGAGCGGAGCGGCGGACGGGUGAGUAAUGCCUAGGACUCUGCCUGGUAGUGGGGGAUAACGUCCGGAAACGGGCGCUAAUACCGCAUACUAUCAGAUGAGCCUCGGUCGGAUUAGCUAGUUGGUGGGGUAAAGGCAUACCAAGGCGACGAUCCGUAACUGGUCUGAGAGGAUGAUCAGUCACACGGGACCUGAGACACGGGCCAGAAUCAUACGGGAGGCAGCAGUGGGGAAUAUUGGAAAAUGGGCGAAAGCCUGAUCCAGCCAUGCCGCGUGGGGGAAGAAGGUCUGCGGAUUGUAAAGCACUGUAAGUUGGGAGGCGUUACCAACAGAAUAAGCACCGGCUAACUUCGUGCCAGCAGCCGCGGUAAUUC
rnacentral:rRNA from 1 species